GGAACAGCACGCAGAUCCUUUACGCAACAGUGAAUUAUUUGGUGAUAUACGGUGUUGUUGAAUGUGUCAUAAAAAAUACUCCGAAUCAUUUAGUUUUAAUUCAGUGUUGGUGACUGUGCUUAUACAACGUGUUUGAUACUAUUUCGAAAUAGUACUCUGUUGUUGACGAAGAUGAUGAGAGGUCGUGGUCUCCUGUUACUUAAAAUGGCAAUGCAUCAACCGAUGAGAGGUCAGCGAAGGCAGCAUCAGCCGAUAAAGCAUCAGAUAGGGAGGUACCCGUUUCUAUUUUAUCUGAUCAUAGCGAUGAAGAAGAUUUUAUAGAUGAUUCGGACACGGAUCCUACUUUUGUAGUACCUGUUAAAGAAAUAUCUCGGCCUCUUGUAAUCCCUAGAAUAUUAUCCUCUUCUUCUUCCUCGAGCUCCUCGUCAGACUCAAGCUCAUCAUCGUCAAGCUCCAGCAGCUCAAGUAGUUCAUCUGAUAAUGAAUCCAAUAGACCGGGUCCAUCUACAGCAAAUAUUCAAGGGAAUUCCAAUGCUACUCCGACAAACGCACCCUCAACUUUUUCUGCCAGUGACACUGCUCCAUCAGUGAGCUACCCCAAGAUAAGUAGAAAGAGAAUACGAAACCCUGCUGGCUGGAAGUCCAAGAUUGCUAAGGCAUUACGGAAUACAGGAAAAGAGUAUGUUUCUUUAACGAAUCCUGCAAAACUGAUCGCUGGGCGUCAAAUCCGUCCACCUUGUGGCGACAAAUGCAGGUUGAAUUGCAAAACUAAAAUAGACGAGAUGGUAAGACAAGACAUUUUCAAACAGUUUUGGCAGCUGGGUAAUUUGGAGAGGCAAAGAGAAUUCAUAGUAAGGCAUACACAAGAAAUCAAACUGAAAUAAAGGUAUAUCACUUCUCAAAAAUUGAGGGAUUUGAAUUCGUCUUACUAUUUUGAAAAAGAUAACACAGGAUUAGGGUAUGUAAAGAGUUUUUUAAGGCUACGCUGAGCAUUUGUGACAGGUAUAUUAAGAAGGCCCUUUCAAAGAAAACAGAUGGUGGUUUUAUGGAAUCUGAUGCACGUGGGAAGCAUGGUAAUCACCGCAAAAUAGACUCUGAAAUAAAAAAUAGUGUGACUGAUUUCAUAAAUUUUGUUUUGAUCAUAAAAUUUUAAACAGUUUUUGUUUUAUGUAACUGUUGUUUAUUUGUUUUUUUUUUAAAUUUAUAACAGUAUUUGUGUUACUUAUAAUUGUUUUGUAUCCAACCAACUUUGCCAUUAAUAUUUCUUAUUUUUUGAUUAACAGGAGAUUAUUGAAGAUUUUUUUAGUUUUUUUGUGAUUUACGUGUUAUAAGGGUUCAAAACGAUAUUUUAUGUUCAAAAUAUAAGUAUCUACUGAUUUUAGUAAAAUGUUGUCUUUUAUUUCAUUAUUAAUUGGUAUAUUCCUAAAUACAAAACAAAUGGUUCGUUAUUGUUUAUUGAAUUUCAAUAAAUAAACAGUAGAAUAAUAGUGCAUUAUUUCAGAAUCAAUCAGUAAAAAGGACGUAACUCAAAAUAAUUAUGUUUUAUUUCGUUCAGUCAUUCCACAACAGUGAAUUAAGUCAAAAAAUGCAUUAUUUUGCAUUAUUAAUGCGUUUACAAUCAACUGAACUUGAUAAUGCUGAUACGCAUUGGAUUCUUUACAUGCAAUGUGCAGGACAUUCGCAAUAACUGUCACAUAACAUGAGAUAACGGUUUUUCGUCGAUUCUGAAAAAUGAGCUAUUUAGACUUAGUGCAGUGUUGUUCUGGGUGUGCGAUAU